GAUUCAUGAGUCAUUACAAUGGGGUGAUCAGAAGGUUAGAUGAACAUAACAAUUUCUUCCCAGCAUUCAGAGAAAUUAUGAACAAACUGAUGGACAUUUUAGACCUACAGAGAAUGGACCAGGUCAUUCCCGCAGUGCGAGCCCUCAAGCUGUUAGCAAGCUGAUCGGGACGAGAUUUCACUGUAUCCGUCCAACAAACAAGUUAAACACUUGAGUGUAAAAUACCAAAGCUUUCUUCAGGGCAUAUUUGUGAAAAACUACUAAUGCACAGUGGAGUUCAAGGCAGCUUACAUGUUUUUGAUGUGUGAUUUACUGAUCAAAGCACAGCGGCAUUUGUUUUGUUGAUGGUAAUACCAUGACAUUGUAUUAAAUGGGGAUGUGAUAUUUUUUAAUGUUUAAAAGCCCAAACUGUGUUGUUGAAGCAGCAGUGACAUUAAAAAGAUAUUCUGAAAUGCUUCCAAGCCAAAAUAUUGACACAGAGUUGAGCCCUGUUGUAAUCUUUCACACAUAACGUCUUGUUUGUUUUUUAAAGACUGGUUGUUUUAUCAUAACGGGCGUUGCUGUGACUAGUUCAUACUGAAGCUGUAUUUUGAACAUUUUUAACAUUUCAAUGAAUGUUCGUCGUAUUAAGCAUAUUACUUAAUGUAAAAGGAAUGUUGAUGAGACUAUGAAUGGAAACAAGAACGACUUUUAAUAUAGUUUAGCUAUGCAACAGUUGUUUUGCACUGUAAACGAUCCAGCCGAUAGAAUAUGUAUCGGCUGAAAUAUUUUGUAACCAUUUUUUUUUUAAUAUUUUAGGUAGUCAGCUUGUUUCUUCAUAUGGGGAAAUGAUUAAACCUACAUUUGUAAUCAUAUAUUGAUAGAACGUUGGAAUUAUUCAUAUUCAGAAUACUGCUAUGAUUUGUAAAUGUGUGGUGUAAAGAUCAUCAGCUAUUAUAUUGGAAGGGCUAGGAAUUUGCAAAUUGCAAUUUGAUAUGAAUACCACAUGGUGUAGGAAACGCCUCUCCGGAACCUCUGGUUUUAUCUCCGUUUUAAUGGAGGUUCGUGAUAGUUUCUGUGGGGGUUUCCUUGGUUAAAGUUGUAGUCGAGUAACGAUUUUGUCCUAAUGUAUGCACGCUAUGCACUUUGUUCUGCGUUUUAACUAGCAUAUAUCGAACGUGGAUAGGUCACAAGAGGAAAUGUUUAAUUUGUAAUAAAAGUAACUUGCAUCCAAAACAGUUGUAAGUUUCUUGUCUUAUAAAAGUGAGUUGGCUAAGGUCGCCCUGUUGAUGAAGAAUUGGAGGAUAUUGGUAUUAAAACGUAACUACUGGUAAUGAUUACUAAAUAAGGGUAAGGAGAAAUAUCAUAUUCUUUUAUUGAUAACAAUCACUCUUAAUGAUUUUUUUAAUUUUAAUUUGUUGUAAGUACUAAAGGAAGUUCAGAUACAUACAGAAAAGUUAUUAAUGAAUGAUAGCUUGGUGAGAACUAAACUAAAAUUCAUUGAUUAUUGAUUUAUGCAUGUCGUUGUUAUAAUACGAUUAAUAAAGAUAUUGCAACAGAAAUAGCAUUAAAAGGUAGAUUAUUGCUCAGCAGCAUUGCAUUUCGUGAAUAUUUUUUCUAGCAAUACGUUUAUGCAUGUUUAGAUAAAACGACUAUCAAUACGUUUUCUUUUGUUGUGUGACUUUAUCCAAUGUUCAAGGCAACAUUGUUGUAUAUUCUGAAAGACUGUUAGAUACACGUCAAUUAAAAGCAGAUAUUUAGAUUGAUAUUUACUGCUAAUCAUUUUGGAGAUUGAAGAAGACAUUGUAAUUAUACUGAUACCUUCUAGAAUACAUUUAAAGUUUAUAUUCGUUUAAUGUUAUAUUUCUUUUCGCUAGGCAUACUUUUUUUUGUGUAGAUAAUUUCAUAUUUAUAUUGUGCUACGUCUAUAUCAAAUAAAUUACAAAACAAGUGAUUACAAGGUUUGUUCAUGUUAUUAUUAAUGUUUGUGUAUUCACGAGUCGUGUACACUGUCGAGUAACAGGUGGGAAGUGUCACAAUGUUCAUGCUGCGACAUUGGCAAAUGACAAUAAAAAUCAAAACAAAUGUCAAACAUGACACCUAUUGUCAUCGCAAGCAAUAUACAAAGUGUACUUCUAUGAAAAUAUGCCAAGAUAGAAUGAUACUCGUCGUCAAGUAUUUCUUUAGGUCGAGGGAGAUAUUUUUAAUAGCAUAUCAUCCAACUUUGAUUAUACAUAUUUGUUUAAAUUUUAUUACUUUUUUAAUAUAUUUAUUAAUUUUAGGAUGUUGUUUAUGGCUCAAGAUUAACGUCGUUUUAUAGGUUAAGACAAACCGAAUCAAAUCUACAUUUUAUGGAACUACGUAUAAAGUAUCGAAUGUCAAACGAACUAAAUAAAAAGUUCAUGAGUAUAUGUCUAACGUUUUACCUAAAGAAAUCUUACUGCUCAUGACUAUAAUAAGUUAUCGCAUAUUAAACGAUCCAAAUUAAUACUAUAGUUUCUUAUUAAAGGUUUAGAUAUCGCACGUCAUACGAACUGAACAAAAUCACUCCCUUUGUUAAGGUAGCAUUGCUAAUCCGACGAACCAAAUUAAAACUGGUUUGUCGUGAUAGGCCUAAUGCAUUACCUGUUAAACGGAAUGGAUUAUAAAACCAGUUCACAUCUCUAGAUCAAACGUAUCACAUAUCUGACGAACCGGUUUGAAAAUGCGGUUCUCGUAGUUUCAGGCCAAUGUAUUUCCGUUUAAACGGUUGAACGAAAACUAGUGAAUUUCUAUAGAUCAAAAUUCGGUGUGUUACAAGUCUGACGAACCGGUUCAGUUCAAUAUUUGUACGUAGAUGAGGUCACUUGAGGUAUGUACAAAAUAUUAUGAUAUAUUUACAGCAAUAAGUAACAGCUAUUGAUUGUUUGAUGUGAUGAUCGGAGAAGCAAAUUGAAAGCACACAGCUUACUCAUUAAAUGUAAUCUUAAGUUAUCAAAAUGGUUAUCUUACUAUCGUCUACAUAAUAGAAAGAAAAGGUUUUUGAAAGGUCACUUCUUUCAGAACGUUUUACCGUCAGUAAAUAUUUAAAGAAAUAUUGGCAAUUAGAAAUUUGUCGGGGGAAAAUAUCAGAAUAAUAGAUUAAGGUAAGAGGAUUGUGUCGCCAUUUCUCAGUAGAAUUCCUUCACAUUUUGUAGUUAUAUUGCUUUGAAGUAAAGAAAAAUGUC
rnacentral:lncRNA from 1 species